rnacentral:rRNA from 1 species
GGGAUAUUGGGCAAUGGGGGUAACCCUGACCCAGCCAUGCCGCGUGAGGGAAUGAGGCCCUACGGGUCGUGAACCUCUUUUGCUCGGGGACAAGGACGGCGUCGCGAACGCCGUUUGAGGGUACCGAGGGAAUAAGCGUCGGCUAACUCCGUGCCAGCAGCCGCGGUAAUACGGAGGACGCGAGCGUUAUCCGGAUUCAUUGGGUUUAAAGGGUGCGCAGGCGGCCGGCCAAGUCAGCGGUGAAAGCCCGGGGCCCAACCCCGGAAGUGCCGUUGAUACUGGUUGGCUGGAAUGCGGUCGAGGCGGGCGGAACGUGGCGUGUAGCGGUGAAAUGCGUAGAUAUGCCACAGAACGCCGAUAGCGGAGGCAGCUCGCCAGGCCUGCAUUGACGCUCGGGCACGAAAGCGUGGGGAUCGAACA